UUUAGUUGCGGGCGAAAGUGCCGUAUACCUGUGUUCCCGAAUUAACGUUUAAGCGAUCUCUAAGAUCGCCGGCCACAGGGUAGCCGUGGUUCAUUACCACGGCUUUUUUGUAUG
rnacentral:sRNA from 12 species